AAUGACCCUGGUCAGGUGGGAACAUGUUGAUCAUUUCUGUUGUACUUUUAUUUUGUUAUUUUAAGUGAUUUAAUGUAUUUACAGAUAUAUAUUGGGACUGGAGGGCAGUGUAAGUGUGGACUGGUAGCUGGAGAGGUAGCAGUCAUCCUGGUGUAAACUAUCUAACUGCUCGUGGUUCUGCAUCUUCCUCCAUAUUAAUGCAUGUCUAUAUGUUUCUCUUUGUGUGGAAAUGAAGCAAAAUAACAACAAUGUAAAAAAGGGACUUAUUCUUAUUAUAUUCUGUUGUUCCUCAUGAAAUCACUCCCUGGUUGAUGUAGUUUCUCUCAAAUAUUAAUAAAUAUAUCUGCUUUAA